UUUGCUCUUUUGGUUAGGAUUUGAUAAGUUGAGCAUGUUUGUGUCAGCCUCAACCUUGAGAAAUACUUGUUUAACUAUUAGGGUUGAAUUUUUAUUUUCAAAUGUGUAUAAACCAUCUUUGUAGGCUGGAAUAUAUGUAUUAUGGUUUUGUAUUGAGAUAUUCAUGCAUUUACACCCUUGAGUUUUAAUUCAAUGGAAAAAUUUUAAAAGAACGCGUUCUAGCCCAUUGGUCUUAUACCCACCUACAUGUUUAUUAAGAAAUCCAGCUGCAAUUUUCAUGGGUAAUAAGUAUGUGCUUUAAGAAUGAAUUUUAUGCAAUAUUUGGGUUUCUUUUUCUCCUAUUUUUGGCCUAAUUUCAAUUCAUUGAUAUUCUGCAACUCUCUCAAAUUCCAUGGAAAUAAUCUGAUUAUGAGAGAUAAACCAAUGGAUAUGAACUCUCUCUCUCUCUCUCUCUCUCUCUCUCUCUACUACUACUACUAUAUAGUAUAAGUAUACUAUACGUUACGUACGUUAGUAAGUAAGUAAGUUAAGUAACGUACGUACGUUAGUACGUUACGUNNNNNNNNNNNNNNNNNNNNCGACUACUACUCUAACUUAACCUACUACGUAAGUAAAGUAACUACGUAGUUAUUAAGUAAGAAGUAACAACUACGAGUAUAGUACUACUCUCUCUCUCUCUCUCUCUCUCUCUCUCUCUCUCAAACUGAAUAUAUGAACUAGAUCAUAGUCUGCUUUAGAAUGGAAAAUUUGCAAGACUUGCUUGUGUUAAUACAUCACCAAUUAGCAUUUAUGGCAUUUGUUUGCUUGUGUUAGACAACUUGGAACUCAUGGCUUACUUCAAUUUUAUUUUUUUUUCCC
rnacentral:lncRNA from 1 species